rnacentral:rRNA from 1 species
UCGAACGGAAAGGCCCUGCUUGCAGGGUACUCGAGUGGCGAACGGGUGAGUAACACGUGGGUGAUCUGCCCUGCACUUCGGGAUAAGCUUGGGAAACUGGGUCUAAUACCGGAUAGGAACCAUCUUUAGUGUGGUGGUUGGAAAGUUUUUUCGGUGUAGGAUGAGCUCGCGGCCUAUCAGCUUGUUGGUGGGGUAAUGGCCUACCAAGGCGGCGACGGGUAGCCGGCCUGAGAGGGUGUGCGGCCACAUUGGGACUGAGAUACGGCCCAGACUCCUACGGGAGGCAGCAGUGGGGAAUAUUGCACAAUGGGCGCAAGCCUGAUGCAGCGACGCCGCGUGGGGGAUGAAGGCCUUCGGGUUGUAAACUCCUUUCGCUAGGGACGAAGCUUUUUGUGACGGUACCUAGAUAAGAAGCACCGGCUAACUACGUGCCAGCAGCCGCGGUAAUACGUAGGGUGCGAGCGUUGUCCGGAAUUACUGGGCGUAAAGGGCUCGUAGGUGGUUUGUCGCGUCGUCUGUGAAAUUCUGGGGCUUAACUCCGGGCGUGCAGGCGAUACGGGCAUAACUUGAGUGCUGUAGGGGUAACUGGAAUUCCUGGUGUAGCGGUGAAAUGCGCAGAUAUCAGGAGGAACACCGAUGGCGAAGGCAGGUUACUGGGCAGUUACUGACGCUGAGGAGCGAAAG